rnacentral:rRNA from 1 species
CAAUAGCGUAUAUUAAAGUUGUUGCAGUUAAAAAGCUCGUAGUUGGACCUUGGACCUGGACAGGCGGUCCGCCUCACGGCGUGUACUGUCUUGCUGGGUCUUUCCUCUUGGUGAUCUGUUGUUUCGGCAGCAGGGAACCAGGACUUUUACUUUGAAAAAAUUAGAGUGUUCAAAGCAGGCUCGACGCCGGAAUAUAUUAGCAUGGAAUAAUAAAAUAGGACGUGCGGUUCUAUUUUGUUGGUUUUUGGAAUCGCCGUAAUGAUUAAUAGGGACAGUCGGGGGCAUUAGUACUUACAUGCUAGAGGUGAAAUUCUUGGAUUUUGUGAAGACUAACUUCUGCGAAAGCAUUUGCCAAGGAUGUUUUCAUUAA